AUGGCCCGGUCCCUGCAGGAGAGAGAGAUGAGGGGCAGAGAGAGAAGGAAGGAGAGGAGGGAGAAAGAGAGAGUUAGUGGACUCUUCAAGAUCGAGCGCACCAUUGGAAAGGCCGAGUACGUCCAUCGACAGCCUGCCCAGUGUCCGGAUUCACCAAGCAGUACAACCGGAGACGCUGUCGGCUGCCUGCAGGCAACAAGCCGUCCGUUGUUGUCUCUGCCUGAAGAAGGAUUAUGGUUCUCAACCUCUUUGCUACUCAUAUUAAAAUUCCGCUAUUCCGGAGAAGUUUCGAGCUUCUGCAACCUUUUGAAGACAUGA
rnacentral:rRNA from 1 species